rnacentral:rRNA from 1 species
CCUACGGGUGACAGCAGUGAGGAAUAUUGGUCAAUGGACGAAAGUCUGAACCAGCCAUGCCGCGUGCAGGAAGACGGCUCUAUGGGUUGUAAACUGCUUUUGUACAAGGGCAAACCGGGAUACGUGUAUUGAGCUGAGAGUACCGUACGAAUAAGCAUCGGCUAACUCCGUGCCAGCAGCCGCGGUAAUACGGGGGAUGCAAGCGUGAUCCGGAUUUAUUGGGUUUAAAGGGUGCGAAGGCGGAUGAGAAAGUCAGAGGUAAAAUGUAGGAGCUUAACUGGUGCACGGCGUUUAAACUGGUGUUCUAGAGGGUGCGAGCGGUACGCGGAAUGCGUGGGGUAGCGGUGGAAUGCAUAGAUAUCAUACAGAACUCCGAUUGCGAAGGCAGCGUAACAACGCCUAACUGACGCUGAUGCACGAAAGCGUGGGUAGCGAACAGGAUUAGAUACCCUAGUAGUC